rnacentral:rRNA from 1 species
UGGGGAAUUUUGCACAAUGGGGGAAACCCUGAUGCAGCGACGCCGCGUGAUUUAGAAGGCCUUCGGGUUGUAAAAAUCUUUUCUAUGGGAAGAAAAUGACAGUACCAUAGGAAUAAGGACCGGCUAAUUACGUGCCAGCAGCCGCGGUAAUACGUAAGGUCCGAGCGUUGUCCGGAAUCAUUGGGCGUAAAGGGUACGUAGGCGGGUAAGCAAGUUAGAAGUGAAAUCCUAUAGCUCAACUAUAGUAAGCUUUUAAAACUGCUCAUCUUGAGGUAUGGAAGGGAAAGUGGAAUUCCUAGUGUAGCGGUGAAAUGCGCAGAUAUUAGGGGGAAUACCGGUGGCGAAGGCGACUUUCUGGCCAUAACCUGACGCUGGGGUACGAAAGCGUGGGUAGCAAACAGG